rnacentral:rRNA from 1 species
AUUGAACGCUGGCGGCAUGCCUUACACAUGCAAGUCGAACGGCAGCACGGGGGCAACCCUGGUGGCGAGUGGCGAACGGGUGAGUAAUGCAUCGGAACGUGCCCAGUAGUGGGGGAUAACUAGUCGAAAGAUUAGCUAAUACCGCAUACGACCUAUGGGUGAAAGCGGGGGAUUCGCAAGAACCUCGCGCUAUCGGAGCGGCCGAUGUCUGAUUAGCUAGUUGGCGGGGUAAAAGCCCACCAAGGCGACGAUCAGUAGCUGGUCUGAGAGGACGACCAGCCACACUGGGACUGAGACACGGCCCAGACUCCUACGGGAGGCAGCAGUGGGGAAUUUUGGACAAUGGGCGCAAGCCUGAUCCAGCCAUGCCGCGUGCGGGAAGAAGGCCUUCGGGUUGUAAACCGCUUUUGGCAGGAACGAAACGGCGCGAGCGAAUAUCUCGCGCUAAUGACGGUACCUGCAGAAUAAGCACCGGCUAACUACGUGCCAGCAGCCGCGGUAAUACGUAGGGUGCAAGCGUUAAUCGGAAUUACUGGGCGUAAAGCGUACGCAGGCGGCUUUGCAAGACAGGUGUGAAAUCCCCGGGCCUAACCUGGGAACUGCAUUUGUGACUGCAUGGCUAGAGUUUGUCAGAGGGGGGUG